CAGCAGACCUCUCAUGGUCUCCACGGCAACAACGAUGCCCACCACCAUCAGCCACCCCCACGCCCUUGUCAAUGCUGCUCCGUCCCAGCUCUCGCCACCACUGCUCUGACCGAAGUGUCACUGGCCUCUGGCAUUCCUUUAGGCUACCACCUCUGCCACCGCUCCUCCAGAACACAGGGUGCCUAUGACUGCAGGGGUAAAACUCCUGUCUCCAGUGUCCCAGGAACUACUCAGGGCCAGAGGCUCAUCUGGCUGGAGAGGGUACAGGAAGCCACAGCAGGAUCAAGUAAUCAAUGAAGACUUGAAUGGGACUGUGUGCUCAUUUCACUUACAGCAAAACCACGUCUAGGCCGUUUUGCUCCUUUCUGGGUUCUAGGGCAACAGGAAAGAUGGCGAGACUGGGCAGGCGGCCUCUCAGGUUAGACGCAAAGGCAGCGGCAGAUACGGAGCAGGCCUUGGUGAAGACGCCCUGAAUAGGAGGUGAAGAGAGUGUGGGGGCACCGAGGCCUCUGGUGUCUAUGAGCCGGGAGGAGAACCCUCGUCAGGGGAUGCUCGUGUGACAGGGGUUCCCUCAGUGCCUCUAAGCCACCUGGUCCACAGAACUCACUCCGGCAGCCCAUACUGACUCGUGUCGUGCCUGAAAUCCACAGAAGCACCAAGAUGAAGACCAGUGACAUCGCACCCUUUCUGCACACCCCGAAGCAGAAGCACACAGUGGCCACUCUGACAGGCAGCUUCCAGCCUGGGCACAGCGUGCCUCAGCUCACCCGGGGACAGGAGGCCAGGGACAAGCCGCGGCCCCACUUAACUGGAGGCCUGCAGUGGUGACGCUAUCCACUUGUCAUGGCACAGAGGAACAAAGCGCGGGCCUGGGGCCAGGUGAGGGAGAUGUCUGCGGUGACCCCGGUGCCCACUGUAGGAUGCUGCUGGGGCGGGCUGGAGGGUUCUGUAUCAGUUACGGAACACUUCCCCAAGGCAGAAACUGAGGGAUGGCACCAAACAAAGGAACCAUUUCUGUAACUUCUUGUGAAUACGACUAUUCCAAAAUAAAACAUUUGGGUGAAGAAAAAGAA